rnacentral:rRNA from 1 species
GACGAACGCUGGCGGCGUGCUUAACACAUGCAAGUCGAACGAUGAAGAAAAGAAUUGCAGCUUCGGCAGAAAUUCAUUUCGGAUUAGUGGCAGACGGGUGAGUAACGCGUGAGCAACCUACCUCUUACAAAGGGAUAGCCUCGGGAAACCGGGAUUAAUACCAUAUAACAUUGCGACGAAGCAUUUCGAUGCAAUCAAUGCUACGGCGGUAAGAGAUGGGUUGGCGUCCCAUUAACCAGAUGGUGAGGUAACGGCUCACCAUAGUAACGAUGGGUAACCGGGCUGAGAGGGUGACCCGUCACACUGGAACUGAGACACGGUGCGGACUCCUACGGGAGGCAGCAGUGGGGAACAUUGCACAAUGGAGGGAACUCUGAUGCAGCGACGCCGCGUGAGUGAGGAAGGAAUUCGGUUCGUAAAACUCUGUUCUAUGUGAAGAAAAGGACUGUACCAUAGGAGAAAGCUCCGGCUAAAUACGUG